rnacentral:ncRNA from 1 species
UACCUGGUUGAUCCUGCCAGUAGUCAUAUGCUUGUCUCAAAGAUUAAGCCAUGCAUGUGUAAGCACACACUGUUUUAAAAGUGAAGCCGCGAAUGGCUCAUUACAACAGCCACAGUUUAUUAGAACUUACAAUCAUGGAUAACUGUGGUAAUUCUAGAGCUAAUACACGCACAAAAACUUCAACUGAAUUGGUUGAAGUGCUUUUAUUAGAACAAAAACCGAACGGCGUUUGACGAAUGUUGAACGUCGAAACUGUUUGGUGAAUCUGAAUAACUAUUUCUGAUCGCAUGGUCUAGCACCGGCGACAUCACUUUCAAGUGUCUGCCUUAUCAACCUUCGAUGGUAGUCUAUGCGACUACCAUGGUGAUAACGGGUAACGGAGAAUCAGGGUUCGACUCCGGAGAGGGAGCCUGAGAAACGGCUACCACAUCCAAGGAAGGCAGCAGGCGCGCAAAUUACCCACUCCCAGCUUGGGGAGGUAGUGACGAAAAAUAACGAGACGAUUCUCGUUUGAGAAACGUUAUCGAAAUGAGUACGCUUUACACACGCUAACGAGUAGCAAUUGGAGGGCAAGUCUGGUGCCAGCAGCCGCGGUAAUUGCCUGCUCCACUAACAUAUAUUAACGUUGUCGCCGCUUAAAACGCUCUUAUGUGAAUUGUGCUCUUAGAC